UUAAAUUGAAGAGUUUGAUCAUGGCUCAGAUUGAACGCUGGCGGCAGGCCUAACACAUGCAAGUCGAACGGUAACAGGAAGCAGCUUGCUGCUUUGCUGACGAGUGGCGGACGGGUGAGUAAUGUCUGGGAAACUGCCUGAUGGAGGGGGAUAACUACUGGAAACGGUGGCUAAUACCGCAUAACGUCGCAAGACCAAAGAGGGGGACCUUCGGGCCUCUUGCCAUCAGAUGUGCCCAGAUGGGAUUAGCUUGUUGGUGAGGUAACGGCUCACCAAGGCGACGAUCCCUAGCUGGUCUGAGAGGAUGACCAGCCACACUGGAACUGAGACACGGUCCAGACUCCUACGGGAGGCAGCAGUGGGGAAUAUUGCACAAUGGGCGCAAGCCUGAUGCAGCCAUGCCGCGUGUAUGAAGAAGGCCUUCGGGUUGUAAAGUACUUUCAGCGGGGAGGAAGGUGUUGUGGUUAAUAACCGCAGCAAUUGACGUUACCCGCAGAAGAAGCACCGGCUAACUCCGUGCCAGCAGCCGCGGUAAUACGGAGGGUGCAAGCGUUAAUCGGAAUUACUGGGCGUAAAGCGCACGCAGGCGGUCUGUCAAGUCGGAUGUGAAAUCCCCGGGCUCAACCUGGGAACUGCAUUCGAAACUGGCAGGCUUGAGUCUUGUAGAGGGGGGUAGAAUUCCAGGUGUAGCGGUGAAAUGCGUAGAGAUCUGGAGGAAUACCGGUGGCGAAGGCGGCCCCCUGGACAAAGACUGACGCUCAGGUGCGAAAGCGUGGGGAGCAAACAGGAUUAGAUACCCUGGUAGUCCACGCCGUAAACGAUGUCUACUUGGAGGUUGUGCCCUUGAGGCGUGGCUUCCGGAGCUAACGCGUUAAGUAGACCGCCUGGGGAGUACGGCCGCAAGGUUAAAACUCAAAUGAAUUGACGGGGGCCCGCACAAGCGGUGGAGCAUGUGGUUUAAUUCGAUGCAACGCGAAGAACCUUACCUGGUCUUGACAUCCACGGAAGUUUUGCAGAGAUGAGAAUGUGCCUUCGGGAACCGUGAGACAGGUGCUGCAUGGCUGUCGUCAGCUCGUGUUGUGAAAUGUUGGGUUAAGUCCCGCAACGAGCGCAACCCUUAUCCUUUGUUGCCAGCGAUUAGGUCGGGAACUCAAAGGAGACUGCCAGUGAUAAACUGGAGGAAGGUGGGGAUGACGUCAAGUCAUCAUGGCCCUUACGACCAGGGCUACACACGUGCUACAAUGGCGCAUACAAAGAGAAGCGACCUCGCGAGAGCAAGCGGACCUCAUAAAGUGCGUCGUAGUCCGGAUUGGAGUCUGCAACUCGACUCCAUGAAGUCGGAAUCGCUAGUAAUCGUGGAUCAGAAUGCCACGGUGAAUACGUUCCCGGGCCUUGUACACACCGCCCGUCACACCAUGGGAGUGGGUUGCAAAAGAAGUAGGUAGCUUAACCUUCGGGAGGGCGCUUACCACUUUGUGAUUCAUGACUGGGGUGAAGUCGUAACAAGGUAACCGUAGGGGAACCUGCGGUUGGAUCACCUCCUUACCUUAAAGAAGC
rnacentral:rRNA from 1 species